AUGGAACCCCAAUGAAAGCUUGGCUCUAGGAACAAGUGGGCUGCCUGUGUGGGAAUGAAGGACUUAGGCUCACUACUGGAAACAAAGAAACUAAGGCCAAAGAGAUUAACUCAUUGCCUGAGACGACAAUGCUAUAAGUGGAGGAGUGAGCUUCCAAAGGCAAACACCAUGACUUCAGAAGAUGGAGAGACUGAGGCUCAGCAAUGUGAAAUGUGCUACUCCGGGUCGUGUGGCUGCUAAAUGGUGACAGUGUUCUGUUUUAUAACAUGAGAGUUUGGGCCAGACCUUUGGGGACUUGUCUUUUCUCACUUGAUAGAAAGAGUAUGAAAUAAAAAAGAAGAAAGAAAAGAAAACUCUCAACAUGUUACAUUUCCAUUAGUGAUUGGUGUCUGGAUAUUAUUUUAGAAUCUCUGGAAAAAGAACCAGGUUUCUGUUGGGGACGAUUAAGGUAGCAUGUAUAAAAUCCACCCUCAGCGAUGCCGGAGAUAUGCA